rnacentral:rRNA from 1 species
ACGCUAGCUACAGGCUUAACACAUGCAAGUCGAGGGGCAGCAUCAUCAAAGCUUGCUUUGAUGGAUGGCGACCGGCGCACGGGUGAGUAACACGUAUCCAACCUGCCGACAACACUGGGAUAGCCUUUCGAAAGAAAGAUUAAUACCGGAUGGCAUAAUUAUUCCGCAUGGGAUAAUUAUUAAAGAAUUUCGGUUGUCGAUGGGGAUGCGUUCCAUUAGGCAGUUGGCGGGGUAACGGCCCACCAAACCUACGAUGGAUAGGGGUUCUGAGAGGAAGGUCCCCCACAUUGGAACUGAGACACGGUCCAAACUCCUACGGGAGGCAGCAGUGAGGAAUAUUGGUCAAUGGACGAGAGUCUGAACCAGCCAAGUAGCGUGAAGGAUGACUGCCCUAUGGGUUGUAAACUUCUUUUAUACGGGAAUAAAGUUAGCCACGUGUGGUGUUUUGUAUGUACCGUAUGAAUAAGGAUCGGCUAACUCCGUGCCAGCAGCCGCGGUAAUACGGAGGAUCCGAGCGUUAUCCGGAUUUAUUGGGUUUAAAGGGAGCGUAGGCGGGUUGUUAAGUCAGUUGUGAAAGUUUGCGGCUCAACCGUAAAAUUGCAGUUGAUACUGGCGACCUUGAGUGCAACAGAGGUAGGCGGAAUUCGUGGUGUAGCGGUGAAAUGCUUAGAUAUCACGAAGAACUCCGAUUGCGAAGGCAGCUUACUGGAUUGUAACUGACGCUGAUGCUCGAAAGUGUGGGUAUCAAACAGGAUUAGAUACCCUGGUAGUCCACACAGUAAACGAUGAAUACUCGCUGUUGGCGAUAUACGGUCAGCGGCCAAGCGAAAGCAUUAAGUAUUCCACCUGGGGAGUACGCCGGCAACGGUGAAACCCAAAGGAAUUGACGGGGGCCCGCACAAGCGGAGGAACAUGUGGUUUAAUUCGAUGAUACGCGAGGAACCUUACCCGGGCUUAAAUUGCAACUGACGGAAUCGGAAACGGUUCUUUCUUCGGACAGUUGUGAAGGUGCUGCAUGGUUGUCGUCAGCUCGUGCCGUGAGGUGUCGGCUUAAGUGCCAUAACGAACGCAACCCUUACGGGUAGUUACCAUCAGGUUAUGCUGGGGACUCUACCCGGACUGCCGUCGUAAGAUGUGAGGAAGGUGGGGAUGACGUCAAAUCAGCACGGCCCUUACGUCCGGGGCUACACACGUGUUACAAUGGGGGGUACAGAAGGCAGCUACACGGCGACGUGGUGCUAAUCCCAAAAGCCUCUCUCAGUUCGGAUUGGAGUCUGCAACCCGACUCCAUGAAGCUGGAUUCGCUAGUAAUCGCGCAUCAGCCACGGCGCGGUGAAUACGUUCCCGGGCCUUGUACACACCGCCCGUCAAGCCAUGAAAGCCGGGGGUACCUGAAGUACGUAACCGCGAGGAGCGUCCUAGGGUAAAACUGGUGAUUG